rnacentral:rRNA from 1 species
ACUCUGUCUGAUUUCUUCGGAUUGAAGACAGUUUGACUGAGCGGCGGACGGGUGAGUAACGCGUGGGGAACCUGCCUUACACAGGGGGAUAACAGUUAGAAAUGGCUGCUAAUACCGCAUAACCCGCUGGGGUCGCAUGACUCUGACGGAAAAGAUUGUAUCGGUGUAAGAUGGACCCGCGUCUGAUUAGCUGGUUGGUGUGGUAACGGCUCACCAAGGCGACGAUCAGUAGCCGACCUGAGAGGGUGAUCGGCCACAUUGGGACUGAGACACGGCCCAAACUCCUACGGGAGGCAGCAGUGGGGAAUAUUGCACAAUGGGGGAAACCCUGAUGCAGCAACGCCGCGUGAGUGAAGAAGUAUUUCGGUAUGUAAAGCUCUAUCAGCAGGGAAGAAAUUGACAGUACCUGACUAAGAAGCCCCGGCUAACUACGUGCCAGCAGCCGCGGUAAUACGUAGGGGGCAAGCGUUAUCCGGAUUUACUGGGUGUAAAGGGAGCGUAGACGGUUAUGCAAGUCAGAAGUGAAAGCCCAAAGCUCAACUUCGGGACUGCUUUUGAAACUGUGUAACUAGAGUGCAGGAGGGGUAAGCGGAAUUCCUAGUGUAGCGGUGAAAUGCGUAGAUAUUAGGAGGAACACCGGCGGCGAAGGCGGCUUACUGGACUGUAACUGACGUUGAGGCUCGAAAGCGUGGGGAGCAAACAGGAUUAGAUACCCUGGCAGUCCACGCCGUAAACGAUGAAUACUAGGUGUCGGGGGACAAAGUCCUUCGGUGCCGUCGCAAACGCAGUAAGUAUUCCACCUGGGGAGUACGUUCGCAAGAAUGAAACUCAAAGGAAUUGACGGGGACCCGCACAAGCGGUGGAGCAUGUGGUUUAAUU